UACGGGGGGAGCAAGCGUUGUUCGGAUUUACUGGGCAUAAAGGGCGCGUAGGCGGUCGUGACAAGUCACUUGUGAAAUCUCCGGGCUUAACUCGGAACGGUCAAGUGAUACUGUCGGACUAGAGUACAGAAGGGGCAACUGGAAUUCUCGGUGUAGCGGUGAAAUGCGUAGAUAUCGAGAGGAACACCUGCGGCGAAGGCGGGUUGCUGGGCUGAUACUGACGCUGAGGCGCGAAAGCCAGGGGAGCGAACGGG
rnacentral:rRNA from 1 species